AGUCACACACAAAUUGUACCAUCCCCACCUGAUGAACAGCCUCAAUCGACCGACCUCUCACCACAGCACAUCUCCACUAUAUAAAGCGCGCGCGGUAGGCAGAGAGUGAAUUAAGCUCGUAGCGGGUGUUUUACUCCACAAUUAACCAUAAUGGUGCAAGCUUGGUACAUGGAAGAUGUCAGUGGUGGGGAAGAACAGUAUCUCCCUCAAAAACUAGAGCCCAACCAAGAUGUUAGCCUAGCCCAGCUAGACGAGCUAGGCGUUAAAUAUUACGAAAUUGAUGUCGAUUCCUACAAUGGUGAAUUUGAACCUUUAAAGAAAGAAUUUGGUUACACCUAUGAUGAUACAGUGGAUAUCCAUCCCUCUAGAUUUCCUAAUUUCGAUAAUAUGAUGAAGACCUUCUUCUCAGAACACCUUCACACUGAUGAUGAAAUUCGUUUGAUAUUGAAUGGGUCUGGUUACUUUGAUGUACGGGACAAAAAUGACAAGUGGAUCCGUAUAUAUUCUGAGAAAAAAGAUCUUAUAGUGUUACCAGCUGGGAUGUACCAUCGAUUCACCCUUGAUUCCAAGAAAUACAUUAAAGCUAUGCGGCUUUUCAAAGGAGUGCCUGUAUGGACAGCACACACGAGGCCAUAUGACGACUUAGAGUGUCGAAAGGAGUACUUGAAGUCAAUUGGAUUAGAAGCAUGAAGAACUCUAUCGUCAAGUGUAUUAGCAAGAGCUGAAAAUAAUUACCAAAAAAUAAAUUAACUUUUAUUCAUACAUUUGUAUACGUGCACAUACACAUGUAUGUAUGUAUGUAUGU
rnacentral:misc_RNA from 1 species